rnacentral:rRNA from 1 species
CCUACGAGCGGCAGCAGUGGGGAAUAUUGGACAAUGGGGGCAACCCUGAUCCAGCCAUGCCGCGUGUGUGAAGAAGGCCCUCGGGUUGUAAAGCACUUUCAGUGAGGAAGAACGCCUGGUGGUUAAUACCCAUCAGGAAAGACAUCACUCACAGAAGAAGCACCGGCUAACUCCGUGCCAGCAGCCGCGGUAAUACGGAGGGUGCGAGCGUUAAUCGGAAUUACUGGGCGUAAAGCGCGCGUAGGUGGCUUGAUAAGCCGGUUGUGAAAGCCCCGGGCUCAACCUGGGAACGGCAUCCGGAACUGUCAAGCUAGAGUGCAGGAGAGGAAGGUAGAAUUCCCGGUGUAGCGGUGAAAUGCGUAGAGAUCGGGAGGAAUACCAGUGGCGAAGGCGGCCUUCUGGACUGACACUGACACUGAGGUGCGAAAGCGUGGGUAGCAAACAGGAUUAGAUACCCCGGUAGUC